GGCACAGUGGUUUAGUGGUUAGCAUGCUUGCCUCACCCCUCCAAGGUUGGGGGUUCGAGUGCCACCUCUGCCC